rnacentral:lncRNA from 1 species
AGCUAGCCCAUCUAGUUUCACUCUUCUUAUUUGCUCUGAGGGGAAAAGUUUUAGGAUUAUGGACUUCUAAUCCCUCUAAGGAACUCCUGGUGCAGAGAGUGUUCAUUUUAUUUUCACUUCGACAGUAUCCUGAAGUGUUCAAGAUUCCGUGCCUUCUAUCAAACCAACAGAUUCAAGCGAGCUGCUAAGAUCUGCACCUGUUACUGAGAAUAUUCCUCUGAAGGAGUGGGGAAUUGUGCAUCAGCAUACAUCAGCUGGUUGGAUAUGUCUGCAGAUAUGGAAAAUGAUGUUGAGAACUGAUGAAAAUAGUAAAAUAUGGAUAAAAUAAAUUGUGAACUAGCUCUGAACAAAAUAUACAAAGACAAACGAAAUAGGAGGAGCUUCAUGAAUAUAUAGAGCAUCAUAAAGUCCUGCAUUACCAAGGAGAGGUGGCAGAACCGGCUGUAUCUAACAGAGGUUUUGAAGAUCUGAAGAUUAAUGGAGAAAUAAUUCACAGAAACUCCAGAAUAGCAGUUUUCAAUCUGGCCUGUGCUUUGGAAAUCACCAGUCUUUGUCAGCUCAAGCUGUGGUAGUGAAAUAGCCAGACUGGGUGACUUAAGCAAAAGAAAGUUACUUCACUAGAUCUGGAGGCCAGAAAGUCGAAGGUCAAGGUACUAGCAAGGUAAGUUUCUUUCUGAGGUCUCAUCACUCCGUAUGCUCUUUGCAGGCAAAAGGAGGGGAAGCAAGAGCUAAUCACACCAUGAGGGUCUAGCUCGCAGGACCUCAUGGAACCCUAAUUA